GAUGAAGAACGUAGCAAAAUGCGAUAAGUAAUGUGAAUUGCAGAAUUCAGUGAAUCAUCGAAUCUUUGAACGCACAUUGCGCCCGCCAGUAUUCUGGCGGGCAUGCCUGUUCGAGCGUCAUUUCAACCCUCAAGCACAGCUUGGUGUUGGGACUCGCGUUAAUUCGCGUUCCUCAAAUUGAUUGGCGGUCACGUCGAGCUUCCAUAGCGUAGUAGUAAGACCCUCGUUACUGGUAAUCGUCGCGGCCACGCCGUUAAACCCCAACUUCUGAAUGUUGACCUCGGAUCAGGUAGGAAUACCCGCUGAACUUAAGCAUAUCAAUAAGCGGAGGA
rnacentral:misc_RNA from 1 species